AUGCAAAUGCAGUUCCCGGAGGGGUCGCUGCAGCAAUGGCCGCCACGGUUGGAGCCCGAGCUAGCUCCGAUGAUGUCGGCCGGGCUGGGCCUCGGGUUACCAUACGACUCUACCGGCGGUCUGAUGGGGUUGCCGGAGCUCAUGAUGGGCCAGUCAUCACUGUUCAGCGCCAAGCCGGCCACGCUGGACUUCUUGGGGCUCGGGAUGAGCCCCACCGGCGCAACGAUGAGCAGGGGCCUUCCCGUGUUCAUGCAGCCCAUGGGCAGCGCGGUCGGCAUGGCCCGGACCGGCAGCGGCGCGGCGGAGACGUUCGGCUCCGGCCCGAGCGCUUAG
rnacentral:rRNA from 1 species